rnacentral:rRNA from 1 species
AACGAACGCUGGCGGCGCGCUUAACACAUGCAAGUCGAACGAGAAGGCGUAGCAAUACGCUUGUAAAGUGGCGAACGGGUGAAGAAUACAUGGGUGACCUACCCUCGAGUGGGGAAUAACCCGCCGAAAGGCGGGCUAAUGCCGCGUACGCCUCCAUUCUCACGGGGAUGGAAGGAAAGCUGCACCGUGGGUGCGGCGCUCAAGGAUGGGCUCAUGUCCUAUCAGCUGUUGGCGGGGUAACGGCCCACCAAGGCUCCGACGGGUAGCUGGUCUGAGAGGACGAUCAGCCACACUGGCACUGCGACACGGGCCAGACUCCUACGGGAGGCAGCAGUGAGGAUAUUGCGCAAUGGGCACAGCCUGACGCAGCGACGCCGCGUGGGGGAUGAAGGUCUUCGGAUUGUAAACCCCCUUUCGGGAGGGAAGAUGGAACGGGCAACCGUUCGGACGGUACCUCCAGAAGCAGCCACGGCUAACUUCGUGCCAGCAGCCG